rnacentral:rRNA from 1 species
AUGUCGGCGGCGAUGUCCGCCUUCGGCCAGCUCCUUGCUUCGAGACGAGGCGUCCUCUGCAUCGUAGUCAUCUUGAGUUGCUGGCUCCUCCUUCGGGAUCGAUUUGACCUCCAGCUUGCUCUGCCACGGAAGAUCUUCAGUCCCUGGCAUAUGUGUUUUUCAUGUUGUGCUCCUACUGCCGUACGGCGGCAGCAUGUCGGCGGCGACGUACAGCUCUAUGCUCUCCGCCUUCGGCCAGCUCCUUGCUUCCGGACGAGGCGUCCUCUGCAUCGUACUCAUCUUGGUUGCUGGCUCCUAGCUCAUUCGGGAUCGAUUUGA